UGUGGUUUAAUUCGACGCAACGACGAACGAACCUUACCUAGGCUUGACAUCCCGGGAUCCUGAUGAAAGUCGGGAGUGCCCCGCAAGGGGAGCCCGGAGACAGGUGCUGCAUGGCUGUCGUCAGCUCGUGUCGUGAGAUGUUGGGUUAAGUCCCGCAACGAGCGCAACCCUCGCCUUUAGUUGCCAGCAUUUAGUUGGGCACUCUAAAGGGACUGCCGGUGUUAAACCGGAGGAAGGUGGGGAUGACGUCAAGUCCUCAUGGCCUUUAUGCCUAGGGCUACACACGUGCUACAAUGGGCGGUACAAAGGGUUGCAAUCCCGCGAGGGGGAGCCAAUCCCAAAAAGCCGUUCUCAGUUCGGAUUGGAGUCUGCAACUCGACUCCAUGAAGUUGGAAUCGCUAGUAAUCGUGGAUCAGCAUGCCACGGUGAAUACGUUCCCGGGCCUU
rnacentral:rRNA from 1 species